GGGGUUGUGGCUCAGCGGUAGAGUGCUCGCCUAGCACAUGUGAGGCCCUGGGUUCGGUCCUCAGCACCACA
rnacentral:tRNA from 1 species